CGUGGAGACAGCAGCUGAGAUUUGCGGUGGAAAAUACAGCAAACAGCUGUCAGGUGCUGCAUGCAUAUAAUCCAGAGUUAUCUACAGAAAACAUAUGCAACAAUUUCUAAACAUGUAGCUGUUCACAAAGAAUUUGAACCAUUCCAGUGUUGACACAGGCAGCAAGUGUAUGGACCAAGUAAAAAGAAUGGAUUUUAUCCCAGAGUACAUGUCUUGAUGGAAAAACUAUGCACCUGCUCAGAAUUACCCUCACAGCCUGGCUUUGUAUGGGAGAAGCUGUAGUUAUUAAAUAAAUUUACUAGAUGAAUAAUACUUUAACUGUUAUCUUUCAAUGGCAACAGUGAUAUGAAUGUCAGCUUUUAAGGCUGUAAAGGUGUGAA